rnacentral:rRNA from 1 species
GCAGUCGAGCGUGAUAUUUUGUAGCUUGCUAUAAAUAUGAAAGCGGCGAACGGCCGUUUAAAACGUUGGAAUCUGCCCCUUGGUCAGGGAUAGCCAGCUUUAAUUCUGAUUAAUACCGGAUAGUCUCUUCGGAGUAAAGAUUUAUUGCCAAGGGAGGAGCCUGCGUCCUAUCAGCUAGUUGGUGAGGUAAUUGCUCACCAAGGCUAUGACGGGUAACUGAUCUGAGAGGAUGAUCAGUCGCAAUGGAACUGAGACACGGUCCAUACUCCUACGGGAGGCAGCAGUGAGGAAUCUUCCACAAUGGGCGCAAGCCUGAUGGAGCGACACCGCGUGAAGGAUGAAGGCCUAACGGUUGUAAACUUCUUUUCUGAGGGAGCAUAAUGAGAGUACCUCAGGAAUAAGGGACGGCUAAAUACGUGCCAGCAGCCGCGGUAAUACGUAUGUCUCAAGCGUUAUCCGGAAUUACUGGGUGUAAAGAGUUCGUAGGUUGUUUGUUAAGUUAGGUAUGAAAGACCGGAGCUCAACUCCGUGUUUGUACUUAAAACUGGCAAACUAGAAUUAGGGAGAGGUAAGCGGAAUUCUAAGUGUAGGGGUGCAAUCCGUAGAUACUUAGAAGAACACCAAAAGCGAAGGCAGCUUACUGGAACUAUAUUGACGCUGAGGAACGAAAGCGUGGGGAGCGAAAAGGAUUAGAUACCCUUGUAGUCCACGCCCUAAACGAUGAUAACUUGGUGUUGGGGUAACCCAGUGCUGAAGCUAACGCGAUAAGUUAUCCACCUGAGGAGUACGGUCGCAAGACUAAAACUCAAAGGAAUAGACGGGGACCCACACAAGCAGUGGAUCACGUGGUUUAAUUCGACAAUAA